rnacentral:rRNA from 1 species
UGGGGAAUUUUGGACAAUGGGCGAAAGCCUGAUCCAGCCAUGCCGCGUGCAGGAUGACGGUCCUAUGGAUUGUAAACUGCUUUUGUACGGGAAGAAACAGUUCUACGUGUAGAACCUUGACGGUACUGUAAGAAUAAGGAUCGGCUAACUCCGUGCCAGCAGCCGCGGUAAUACGGAGGAUCCAAGCGUUAUCCGGAAUCAUUGGGUUUAAAGGGUCCGUAGGCGGUUAGAUAAGUCAGUGGUGAAAGCCCAUCGCUCAACGGUGGAACGGCCAUUGAUACUGUCUGACUUGAAUUAUUAGGAAGUAACUAGAAUAUGUAGUGUAGCGGUGAAAUGCUUAGAGAUUACAUGGAAUACCAAUUGCGAAGGCAGGUUACUACUAAUGGAUUGACGCUGAUGGACGAAAGCGUGGGUAGCGAACAGGAUUAGAUACCCGAGUAGUCCCUGAGCGGGCUGGCAAGGCGCAU